rnacentral:rRNA from 1 species
CAGUCGCCGCGGGAAUACGUAGGUGGCAAGCGUUGUCCGGAAUUAUUGGGCGUAAAGCGCGCGCAGGUGGUUUAAUAAGUCUGAUGUGAAAGCCCACGGCUCAACCGUGGAGGGUCAUUGGAAACUGUUAAACUUGAGUGCAGGAGAGAAAAGUGGAAUUCCUAGUGUAGCGGUGGAAUGCGUAGAGAUUAGGAGGAACACCAGUGGCGAAGGCGGCUUUUUGGCCUGUAACUGACACUGAGGCGCGAAAGCGUGGGGAGCAAACAGGAUUAGAUACCCGCGUAGUCCCUGUCUCUUAUAC